rnacentral:sRNA from 1 species
UCCUUCAAGCCACAUUGAGGCGUGAUG